UGCCUAUUAGCUCAAAUGGAAGAGCAAUGUGCAAUUGCAUAUGGAUGUAGGUUCAAAUCCUACACGGGCUU
rnacentral:tRNA from 1 species